UCAUCCUUCUCCCCACCCUCUUUCUCUCUCUCCUAUUAAUUUCCAUCCUCGCCUUUCAAACAUUUGGCAUCUCUGCUGGCCUGCCUGUCUCUCUCUUCCUCUUUCCGCUUCUUGCAGCUAAAGGCGACCACCACAGUAUCUCUGUUAUGCUCCUCUGAAAGUGAGUGCAUCAUGCUGUUGCUCUUUGUUCUUGGUAGAAGCGUGAGGGCUUGUCGUGUCGUGAUUUCUCAUUUUCUGUCGAAUUCAAACCGCAAAUUAAAUUAAUGUAAAUCGUACCAUGCGGUGGCACCAGUGGUAUUUUAAUUCAAAGGCGUGCUCUGUUCUGCCAACAUAGAGCAUUUGGUGAUCGGACACUGGGAAUAGGUUUCUGGAGAUGAUGGAGUCAGCCAAGGGUCGAUCGGAGGUGGAGUUCCCCGGCCGUGCCGUCUCGCCUUGUUGGAAGAAGAAGGCGCCCGACGCCGGCUUCUUGGCCAACGUCAAGGACCACUUCGACCAGUUCGUCAGCACGCCCAUGGAUCAGCAUAGGAUCUGUCUCAAGAAGACGAUCAGAGGGGUAGGUGACCUCGUCAAGCUUAGGAAGCAAAGCAAGGAAGCAAGGCAAGCUAUUGCGUCGUCGGAUUCCGCUUCCAAAGACGGAGACGCGGAUACGUCGAGGUAGGAUGAGAUCUGCAGUGCCUCAGCUGCUGCGACGGAGCAUUCUUGUAAAUGGCAAUUGAUCUGCAGAACACAUUCUGGCAAAAUUCAGUGUGAUCACUCGAUACUAUAGAUAAAAAAAAAAGGCAUCUUCUUCUUCUUCUUCUUCUUCUUCUUCAAGAAUAAAGCACUAACCAUGUUGAUUUAUUGCGCAUCCUGCAAAUUCCAUGGCUUUUAUUGUUUGGCUUGACGAUUUCCAUGAAGAUCUUUUCUUGUGUCUUGCA